rnacentral:rRNA from 1 species
UACGAAGGGGGCUAGCGUUGCUCGGAAUGACUGGGCGUAAAGGGCGCGUAGGCGGCUCAUACAGUCAGAUGUGAAAUUCCUGGGCUUAACCUGGGGGCUGCAUUUGAUACGUGUGGGCUUGAGUGGGGAAGAGGGUCGUGGAAUUCCCAGUGUAGAGGUGAAAUUCGUAGAUAUCGGGAGGAACACCGGUGGCGAAGGCGGCGACCUGGUCCGAUACUGACACUGAGGUGCGAAAGCGUGGGGAGCAAACAGG